rnacentral:rRNA from 1 species
UGGGUAACCUGCCUCAAAGAGGGGAAUAGCCUCCCGGGAAGGGAGAUUAAUACCGCAUAAUAUGUUUAGGUCGCAUGACUUUAACAUCAAAGGAUUUCUUUUAGAAAUUCCACUUUGAGAUGGACCCGCGGCGCAUUAGCUAGUUGGUGAGGUAACGGCUCACCAAGGCAACGAUGCGUAGCCGACCUGAGAGGGUGAUCGGCACAUUGGAACUGAGACACGGUCCAGACUCCGUAGGGAGG